UGAAGACGUUCAAGAAGAGGAAAUGGUUGUUGAUCAUGAAAGUCACACUGUUACAUUCAGUCGCGCUGAUCAGUCUGAUAUCCCUGUUGACUGGACUCAAGGAGAGUGCGAUGCUUUCCAGGGAUCACAUCAUUCGAAACUACAAGAUGAAAACGAGACAUCAUACUCGUUUAACAACUCGUUUGAGACAGAGAUAUCAGAAUGUUGGACCGGACGAUAAAACUUUCUAAUCUUCAUCCAGACGUGGAUGAGGACAUUCUAAAAAUGUUUUUCAACGAUGCAGAAACUUUUGGUACCAACUUAAAUGUGAAACAAAUUAUACUUGAUCGUAGAAACUCAUCAGCUGUCGUUGAAUUUGAAGACAAAAACGAGUUAGAGAUUGUUCUUCAAAAGCAGCCACUUGAAAUAGAUGGACAGACGGUCACAGCGAAAUUGUAUGAGCAUUUAGAAGAAACAGAAGUACCUUCCAGGACCAUUGAAGUCACAGCGGCGCCUGGCGUUAUUAAGCAGCAGAGUAUUUCGACAUUGAAGAUGUACUUCAAGAGCAAAACUUAUUCCAAUGGUGGAGAAAUAGAAAAAUGUGUCAUAGAACCUGAUAGCAAAGUACUUCACAUCACAUUUAAAGACCCAGAAGGUUACAUUAUUAUUUCGUAAACCUGUUUAAAUAAUGCACGUAGAAUGUAGGGAUAAAACACGUUUUUUUUGUGUUUACGUCUGCAGAAGCCCGCGGGAUUAUUUGUG